rnacentral:tRNA from 1 species
GGGCUCGUAGCUCAGCCUGGCAGAGCGUCUGGCUCUUAACCAGUUGGUCAGGGGUUCAAAUCCCCUCGAGCCCGC